rnacentral:rRNA from 1 species
GACGAACGCUGGCGGCGUGCCUAAUACAUGCAAGUUGAGCGCUGAAGGUUGGUACUUGUACCGACUGGAUGAGCAGCGAACGGGUGAGUAACGCGUGGGGAAUCUGCCUUUGAGCGGGGGACAACAUUUGGAAACGAAUGCUAAUACCGCAUAAAAACUUUAAACACAAGUUUUAAGUUUGAAAGAUGCAAUUGCAUCACUCAAAGAUGAUCCCGCGUUGUAUUAGCUAGUUGGUGAGGUAAAGGCUCACCAAGGCGAUGAUACAUAGCCGACCUGAGAGGGUGAUCGGCCACAUUGGGACUGAGACACGGCCCAAACUCCUACGGGAGGCAGCAGUAGGGAAUCUCCGGCAAUGGACGAAAGUCUGACCGAGCAACGCCGCGUGAGUGAAGAAGGUUUUCGGAUCGUAAAACUCUGUUGGUAGAGAAGAACGUUGGUGAGAGUGGAAAGCUCAUCAAGUGACGGUAACUACCCAGAAAGGGACGGCUAACUACGU